CACCGCGGUUAUACGAGUGACCCAAGUUGAUAUUUGCGGCGUAAAGAGUGGUUAAGGAAUACAAAAACUAGAGUCGAACGUCCCCUGGACUGUCAUACGUGUCCGGGGAGCAGAAGCCCAUAUACGAAGGUGGCUCUACAACCCCUGACCCCACGAAAGCUAGGGCA
rnacentral:rRNA from 1 species